GGGCCAUAGCUCAUUGGUAGAGUAUCUGCCUUGUGUGCAGGAAGGUCCCAGGUUCAACCCCAGACAUCUCCA